AAUCACCAAUAAACGAACCGCUGAUGCCAUGCUGUUCACGAAUCUUGCCACGGACGCUGGACAUCACUAUAAGAUCGACCACUGGAACAAAGAAAGCCAGCCCGCAUAGCAAACAGCUAUCUCCCACAGCCUCGGCUUUCUUACCGAACGUAUAACACGGAGCUAUAUACGUGAUCAAACAGGUUCCACAAUCGUUGAAGCAGCCGAAGAGACCAUUGUUCCAAUCAUUGGCCAUCUUUGAAGAGGUAGUGGUGGGUAGAUGCGGUAAGAUAUAGCGGCUAAAAGAGCAGUAAACUCUGGUCGUCUCACAAAGAGCUGAAGAGUCAACAACGCGGCACACCCUCAAGCAAACGUGUUGGCGGUGGCUGUUAUAUUAUGCAAAUCUGUCAGCAUAUUGUGCGUUACUAACUAUGUCACUUGGGUCACACAACGCGGGGGAAAUCACCACGAUAGCUCCUAGCCUAUACACGCGAUACGGACAGAUCGCUUUAGAACAUUUCAAGAGUUGUUUUUAUAUUAUCGCUCCGAUCGCAUGUGAGUUCAUUGCUUUAUGGAUCGGGCUAUUCAUUACAACGGAAAACAAGUUCAUUUUUAUCGCCUGUUAUAAAAUACUGUGGAUGAAUCACAAAAAUUAAAAGGGCCCAAAUAACUAAUAAAGGCGUCCUGAAAAAAAAAAAAAAA